GAAUGGAACAUCCUGGCAGACUGCAUCAGGAGAAUGAUAACAUGAGAAGCAAUGUUUAAAACAUUCCCCUAAAAACCAACUCUCAAAAAAAUUUCUUUUAAAAACAAUCCCAGAAAUGCUGAAAUAUUUGGAAGAUAUGAGCAGGAAUGAACAACUACCUUCAUCUUAUUUAAAUCUUUCAUUUCCUAAUUGUUCCUGGUCUGGCUCAUAAAGAUCUCUAGAUAAAGUUAAUUGACUUUAAAUAGGAGUGGUAAGCUCUUUUACAACUUUUAAAAAAUAUAUCUUUUACGUUCCUGGAUAACCUGUAAUUUUACAAUACUGAUCUAGAAACCAGAAGCUGCCACAAAUGAUGGUGCUAAAUCUGUGCUUGAAAUGGUGGGACAGAAAUGCAAGGUGACUUUACAAAGGAUGGAUGAUUUGAGUCUCUGUUCCUAUAUCCAUGAUUUGACUGUGCAAAAGAAGUCCUUACUACUUCUCCACCCACCAAUUCUGGUGACAGUUAGGGGGUUUGUGGCCCUAGCCUACAUCAUUCUCCCCUGCUGGAUGCUUCCUGCUCUUGAACAUCGGACUCCAGGUUCUUCAGUUUUGGGACUCGGACUGGCUCUCCUUGCUCUUCAGCUUGCAGAUGGCCUAUUGUGGGAUCUUGAGCUAUGAGCCAACAGCAGGGAGAGGGGGCUUUCAGCAGCUGCCAAACACGACAUUUCUGGACAGGCCACCUCACCCUCGGCAGGGGACAUCUGGAGAGCAGCCUUUUAUCUGUCAGCCUCUGCACGUCUGGCUACCUGCAAGGGGCCUGGAGCCC
rnacentral:lncRNA from 1 species